rnacentral:lncRNA from 1 species
GUUUGUGUUUGUCUAUAUAUGUGUGUGUGUGUGUGUCUGUCUGUCUAUGUGUGUGAGUGUGUUUGUGUAUGUGUGUGUCUGUGGCUCAGUGUGUUUGUGUGUUUGUCUGUCUCUUUAUGUGUGUGUGACUGUGUGUGUGUGUGUGUGUGUAUCUUUAUGUGUGUGUGUGUGUGUUUGUGUUUGUGUCUGCCUGUGUUUGUCUCUAUGUGUGUGUGUUUGUGUAUCUGUGUGUGUCUCAUUGCAGGGUAGCAAAGGAUCAUUAAAUUGUAAACAUCAUCAGCCACAUGAUGAGGGAAGCAGUAUCAAAUCAAUGCUUUACAAGCUUUUUGGUGGGGAGCAAUAAGGUGCCUGUGGAUGUUCUUCAAUACGCUGACGAUACGAUAUUCUUU